UACGGAGGGUGCAAGCGUUAUCCGGAUUCACUGGGUUUAAAGGGUGCGUAGGUGGGCAGGUAAGUCAGUGGUGAAAUCCUGUAGCUUAACUACAGAACUGCCAUUGAUACUAUUUGUCUUGAAUACCCUGGAGGUGAGCGGAAUAAUGUCAUGUAGCGGUGAAAUGCUUAGAUAUGACAUAGAACAUCUAUUGCGAAGGCAGCUCACUACGGGAAUAUUGACGCUGAGGCACGAAAGCGUGGGGAUCAAACAGGG
rnacentral:rRNA from 1 species